rnacentral:rRNA from 1 species
UUCGAAGGGGGCUAGCGUUGUUCGGAUUUACUGGGCGUAAAGCGCACGUAGGCGGAUCGAUCAGUCAGGGGUGAAAUCCCAGAGCUCAACUCUGGAACUGCCUUUGAUACUGUCGAUCUGGAGUAUGGAAGAGGUGAGUGGAAUUCCGAGUGUAGAGGUGAAAUUCGUAGAUAUUCGGAGGAACACCAGUGGCGAAGGCGGCUCACUGGUCCAUUACUGACGCUGAGGUGCGAAAGCGUGGGGAGCAAACAGG